rnacentral:rRNA from 1 species
GAUGAACGCUGGCGGCGUGCUUAACACAUGCAAGUCGAACGAGAAGUGAAGACGGAAACCUUCGGGCGGAAGGCUUUAUUUCGAGUGGCGGACGGGUGAGUAACGCGUGGGUAACCUGCCUCAUACAGGGGGAUAACAGUUGGAAACGACUGUUAAUACCGCAUAAGACCACAGCACCGCAUGGUGCGGGGGUAAAAACUCCGGUGGUAUGAGAUGGACCCGCGUUCGAUUAGCCAGUUGGCGGGGUAACGGCCCACCAAAGCGACGAUCGAUAGCCGAUCUGAGAGGAUGACCGGCCACAUUGGGACUGAGACACGGCCAAAACUCCUACGGGAGGCAGCAGUGGGGAAUAUUGCACAAUGGGGGAAACCCUGAUGCAGCGACGCCGCGUGAGUGAAGAAGUAUUUCGGUAUGUAAAGCUCUAUCAGCAGGGAAGAAAAUGACGGUACCUGAGUAAGAAGCCCCGGCUAACUACGUG